UGUAUGUCUCAUGGGAUCUAGCAAGAGCAUCCGAAACGUAUCGAAUUCCUCGUAAACCAAGAAAAAAUGUAUCCACACGGUUCUUCAACUUCUGCCCUUUUUUCAACGGAUCGAUUUCUGCAAUGUUUCUUCGAUUUUUGCCCUUUCUUUUCAUAUCAUAAUUCGCUUAUUCUAAUCUUCGGAGAUUGAUGGCGCAUGAACAGGAACUAAAGAGAUUAUGGUGGUGUUGUUGAUUAUGAAGCUCUGCUGCUGCUCUUGGCAGAACACGGCUUUUUCUCUACUUUGAUAACCCCUUUUAUUCCGUUAUUUUUCUGCAUCUCUCACUUUUCUUGUCUAUUCAGUACCCCGUUUUCUCUGGCCAGGUGUUAAAGAUACUUCUUGGUAUUCAAACUAGACAACCCCGAUUGUAAACAGUGGAAGUUUGUUUAAUUCUUUUUGGUGGUGCAUUGCUGAGCUUACAAUUCAAUCCACAGAUCCAAUUAUCCGCUCUAUCCUAUAUUACCCCACCACAUCUGCUUUGCCCAUCCUGUAAAACAGAGCCAUCUACUGCCAACUUGACUCCACUUUCUGCUAUCCCUCUGCUUUGUCCCUCCCUUGUUCCAUUAAGAUUGUAAAAACUGCAUUGUUUUGAGAGGUCAUGGUCUAGGCAAGCUUUGAAUAAACUAGAAAACCCAUUGUUAGAGUUAUCUGUGCUAGGUGUAUUGAACAGAUGAUUGCACCUAGCCACUCAGAUACCCCAACAAAUAUAGUUGAAGAGUGUAGGCCAUGGGAUUUUCUUAGUUUGGUCCUUUCCCCCCUCCUUAGUGAGAUUCCAAGUAACCCAAUCCGCUCCUUGCUUGGCUAGGAAUACAUUCCACAUUGAAGGUCUGAUCACCGAUUUCCACCUCUCCUUAGCAUUAACACACUCACAAAGAAGGUGCAUAGGUGGUUCCAGUUGGUUGCAUCCGAACAGGCAACUUGCAUCCUGUUGAAUCUUUCUGUCCGCCUUACAGCGCUUAGAAGAAAUGAAUAGCGAGCUGAUUGUUAAGAGUCAUUAAAAUCAUGUUGGAAGAGAGGAGGGCCAAAUUUCACUUCCAAUCGAGGAGCUUAUCCGAUCCCCCUUGAAGAGCACUUCCAAAUGGAGGAGUCAUUGCAAUUUGUCGGAGCAUUCAAAAUUUAAAUUCUUAUAAUAAUACUACCUACGAUCU